rnacentral:rRNA from 1 species
UAGGGAAUCUUCCACAAUGGACGCAAGUCUGAUGGAGCAACGCCGCGUGAGUGAAGAAGGUUUUCGGAUCGUAAAGCUCUGUUGUUGGUGAAGAAGGAUAGAGAUAGUAACUGGCCUUUAUUUGACGGUAAUCAACCAGAAAGUCACGGCUAACUACGUGCCAGCAGCCGCGGUAAUACGUAGGUGGCAAGCGUUGUCCGGAUUUAUUGGGCGUAAAGCGAGCGCGGGCGGAAGAAUAAGUCUGAUGUGAAAGCCCUCGGCUUAACCGAGGAACUGCAUCGGAAACUGUUUUUCUUGAGUGCAGAAGAGGAGAGUGGAAUUCCAUGUGUAGCGGUGGAAUGCGUAGAUAUAUGGAAGAACACCAGUGGCGAAGGCGACUCUCUGGUCUGCAACUGACGCUGAGGCUCGAAAGCAUGGGUAGCGAACAGG